GACGAACCGUGCGAACGUUGUUCGGAAUCACUGGGCUUAAAGCGCACGUAGGCGGACUCUUAAGUCGGUGGUGAAAUCCUGGAGCUCAACUCCAGAACUGCCUUCGAUACUGAGAGUCUCGAGUCCGAGAGAGGUGAGUGGAACUGCGAGUGUAGAGGUGAAAUUCGUAGAUAUUCGCAAGAACACCAGUGGCGAAGGCGGCUCACUGGCUCGGUACUGACGCUGAGGUGCGAAAGCGUGGGGAGCAAACAGG
rnacentral:rRNA from 1 species